GCGAGUCGAGCGAGAAUUUUCUUCGGAAAAGAGUAAAGCGGCGGACGGGUGAGUAACGCGUAGGAAUCUACCUAGUAGUGGGGGACAACAUGUGGAAACGCAUGCUAAUACCGCAUACGCCCUAUGGGGGAAAGCAGGGGAUCUUCGGACCUUGUGCUAUUAGAUGAGCCUGCGUCGGAUUAGUUUGUUGGUAGGGUAAUGGCCUACCAAGACUACGAUCCGUAGCUGGUCUGAGAGGAUGAUCAGCCACACUGGGACUGAGACACGGCCCAGACUCCUACGGGAGGCAGCAGUGGGGAAUAUUGGACAGUGGGCGCAAGCCUGAUCCAGCCAUGCCGCGUGUGUGAAGAAGGCUCUAGGGUUGUAAAGCACUUUCAGUAGGGAGGAAAAGUUAGUAGUUAAUAACUGCUAGCCCUGACGUUACCUACAGAAGAAGCACCGGCAAACUCCGUGCCAGCAGCCGCGGUAAUACGGAGGGUGCGAGCGUUAAUCGGAAUUACUGGGCGUAAAGCGCGCGUAGGCGGUUUGAUAAGCUGGAUGUGAAAGCCCCGGGCUCAACCUGGGAACUGCAUCCAGAACUGUCUGACUAGAAUACAAUAGAGGUGAGUGGAAUUUCCUGUGUAGCGGUGAAAUGCGUAGAUAUAGGAAGGAACAUCAGUGGCGAAGGCGACUCACUGGAUUGAUAUUGACGCUAAGGUGCGAAAGCGUGGGGAGCGAACAGGAUUAGAUACCCUGGUAGUCCACGCCGUAAACGAUGUCUACUAGCCGUUGGGAUCCUUG
rnacentral:rRNA from 1 species